AGCGAACGCUGGCGGCAGGCCUAACACAUGCAAGUCGAACGGAUCCUUCGGGAUUAGUGGCGGACGGGUGAGUAACACGUGGGAACGUGCCCUUUGGUUCGGAACAACUCAGGGAAACUUGGGCUAAUACCGGAUGUGCCCUUCGGGGGAAAGAUUUAUCGCCAUUGGAGCGGCCCGCGUCUGAUUAGCUAGUUGGUGAGGUAACGGCCCACCAAGGCGACGAUCAGUAGCUGGUCUGAGAGGAUGAGCAGCCACACUUGGAGUGAGACACGGCCCAGACUCCUACGGGAGGCAGCAGUGGGGAAUCUUGCGCAAUGGGCGAAAGCCUGACGCAGCCAGGCCGCGUGAAUGAUGAAGGUCUGAGGAUUGUAAAAUUCUUUCAGCGGGGACGAUAAUGACGGUACCCGCAGAAGAAGCUCCGGCUAACUUCGUG
rnacentral:rRNA from 1 species